AAACAAAAAGUGCAGGAUAUGCACCCCUUG
rnacentral:tRNA from 1 species